UCCACUAGGGGUGCCCAUUCCGGGCUGAGAUUCACCCUUAUACCUGAUCUAGAUCAUGCUAGCGUAGGAAAGUGGCAUAUUU
rnacentral:ncRNA from 1 species